rnacentral:rRNA from 1 species
CUAAUGUUCGAUAGGUGAAGAACUCUGGAAUGAGUCUUCAUUUAAACGGCGACAGAGUUAUGCUCUUUGGCGCUGCUUAAGGAUGGGGCCGCGACCGAUCAGGCUGUUGGUGAGGUAAUGGCUCACCAAGCCUUUUACCGGUGCGGGCCGUGGGAGCGGGAGCCCGGAGAUGGGCACUGAGACAAGGGCCCAGGCCCUACGGGGCGCAGCAGUCGCGAAAACUUUGCAAUAAGCGAAAGCUUGACAGGGCUAUCCCGAGUGCCAUCCGCUGAGGAAGGCUUUUACCCAGUCUAGAACGCUGGGGGAAUAAGGAGAGGGCAAGUCUGGUGUCAGCCGCCGCGGUAAUACCAGCUCUCCGAGUGGUGUGGAUGUUUAUUGGGCCUAAAGCAUCCGUAGCUGGCUAGGUUAGUCCCCUGUUAAAUCCACCGAAUUAAUCGUUGGAUUGCGGGGGAUACUGCUUGGCUAGGGAACGAGAGAGGCAGACGGUAUUUCCGGGGUAGGGGUGAAAUCCUAUAAUCCCGGGAAGACCACCAGUGGCGAAGGCUGUCUGCUAGAACGCGUCCGACGGUGAGGGAUGAAAGCUGGGGGAGCGAACCGGAUUAGAUACCCGGGUAGUCCCAGCUGUAAACGAUGCAGGCUAGGUGUUUGGACGGCCACGUGCCGUUCUAGUGCCGCAGGGAAGCUGUUAAGCCUGCCGCC